rnacentral:rRNA from 1 species
GUGCCAGCACGCCAUCGGGAGAUUCCAGCUCCAAUAGCGUAUAUUAAAGUUGUUGUGGUUAAAAAGCUCGUAGUUGAACCUUGGGCCUGGCUGGCCGGUCCGCCUCACCGCGUGCACUGGUCCGGCCGGGCCUUUCCCUCUGUGGAACCCCAUACCCUUCACUGGGCGUGGCGGGGAAACAGGACAUUUACUUUGAAAAAAUUAGAGUGCUCCAGGCAGGCCUAUGCUCGAAUACAUUAGCAUGGAAUAAUAAAAUAGGACGCGCGGUUCUAUUUUGUUGGUUUAUAGGACCGCCGUAAUGAUUAAUAGGGACAGUCGGGGGCAUCAGUAUUCAACUGUCAGAGGUGAAAUUCUUGGAUCAGUUGAAGACUAACUACUGCGAAAGCAUUUGCCAAGGAUGUUUUCAUUAAUCAGGAACGAAAGUUAGGGGAUCGAAGACGAUCAGAUACCGUCGUAGUCUUAACCAUAAACUAUGCCGACUAGGGAUCGGACGGUGUUAUUCAUGACCCGUUCGGGCACCUUACGAGAAAUCAAAGUGCUUGGGCUCCAGGGGGAGUAUGGUCGCAAGGCUGAAACUUAAAGAAAUUGACGGGAGGGCACCACCAGGGGUGGAGCCUGCGGCUUAAUUUGACUCAACACGGGGAAACUCACCAGGUCCAGACACAAUAGGGAUUGACAGAUUGAGAGCUCUUUUCUUGAUUAUUGUGGUUGGUGGUGCAUGGGCCGGUUCUUAGUUGGUGGGGUGACUUUGUCUGCUUAAUUGUCGAUAACGGAACGGAGAACC